GAAUUUUCCGCAAUGGGCGAAAGCCUGACGGAGCAAUGCCGCGUGGAGGUGGAAGGCCUACGUGUCGUCAACUUCUUUUCUCGGAGAAGAAACAAUGACGGUAUCUGAGGAAUAAGCAACGGCUAACUCUGUGCCAGCAGCCGCGGUAAGACAGAGGAUGCAAGCGUUAUCCGGAAUGAUUGGGCGUAAAGCGUCUGCAGGUGGCUUUUAAAGUCAGGCGUCAAAUCCCAGGGCUCAACCCUGGACAGGCGGUGGAAACUACCAAGCUGGAGUACGGUAGGAGCAGAGGGAAUUUCCGGUGGAGCGGUGAAAUGCAUUGAGAUCGGAAAGAACACCAACGGCGAAAGCACUCUGCUGGGCCGACACUGACACUGAGAGACGAAAGCUAGGGGAGCAAAUGG
rnacentral:rRNA from 1 species